UACGUAGGGUGCAAGCGUUGUCCGGAAUUAUUGGGCGUAAAGAGCUCGUAGGCGGUCUGUCGCGUCGGCUGUGAAAUCCCGAGGCUCAACCUCGGGUCUGCAGUCGAUACGGGCAAACUAGAGUAUUGCAGGGGAGACUGGAAUUCCUGGUGUAGCGGUGGAAUGCGCAGAUAUCAGGAGGAACACCGGUGGCGAAGGCGGGUCUCUGGGCAGUAACUGACGCUGAGGAGCGAAAGCGUGGGGGAGCGAACAGG
rnacentral:rRNA from 1 species